rnacentral:rRNA from 1 species
UAAUGUGCAAAUAGCACAAUUUAUUCGCGUGUUUCGCGUAUGGUGUGAACUCAGCAUCACAUGGUCAUCCACUGAAGUCAAGUAGGGCUGCGCCCGGUCAGUACUUGGAUGGGAGACCACAUGGGAAAACUAGGUUGCUGCUAGAA